rnacentral:piRNA from 1 species
UUCUACAAUAAAGCUCUAAAACCAUAGA